rnacentral:rRNA from 1 species
UACGGAAGGCAGCAGUGGGGAAUAUUGCACAAUGGGCGCAAGCCUGAUGCAGCCAUGCCGCGUGUAUGAAGAAGGCCUUCGGGUUGUAAAGUACUUUCAGUCGUGAGGAAGGUGUUAAGGUUAAUAACCUUAGCAAUUGACGUUAGCGACAGAAGAAGCACCGGCUAACUCCGUGCCAGCAGCCGCGGUAAUACGGAGGGUGCGAGCGUUAAUCGGAAUUACUGGGCGUAAAGGGCACGCAGGCGGUUAAUUAAGUUGGAUGUGAAAUCCCCGGGCUUAACCUGGGAAUGGCAUUCAAGACUGGUUAGCUAGAGUCUUGUAGAGGGGGUUAGAAUUCCAUGUGUAGCGGUGAAAUGCGUAGAGAUGUGGAGGAAUACCGGUGGCGAAGGCGGCCCCUGGACAAAGGACUGACGCUCAUGUGCGAAAGCGUGGGGAGCAAACCAGGGAUUAGAUACC